rnacentral:rRNA from 1 species
GACGAACGCUGGCGGCGUGCCUAACACAUGCAAGUCAACUUGACUGAAGGAGCAAUCUGACAGUAGAGUGGCGCAAGGGUGCGUAACGCGUAAGUAACUUGCCCCAAGGUAAGGAAUAACGUCGAGAAAUCGGCGCUAAUACCUCAUAAUGCAGCGGAUCCGCAUGGAUAUGUUGUUAAAGGUUUACCGCCUUUGGGAUAGGCUUGCGUCUGAUUAGCUAGUUGGUGUGGUAACGGCACACCAAGGCUACGAUCAGUAACUGGUCUGAGAGGAUGAUCAGUCACACUGGAACUGAGACACGGUCCAGACUCCUACGGGAGCAGCAGUGAGGAUAUUGGGCAAUGCUCGAAAGAGUGACCCAGCAACGCCGCGUGGAGGAUGAAGG